rnacentral:lncRNA from 1 species
GGACAAAAGUAUGCAUUGCAUUCUACAGGGGAAAGGAAGAGGAGAGGAGGAAGGGACUGCCAAAGACAAGAUGGAAAGAACCUGGAAACUGGCUCUAGAAAGAGGAUCUAGUACCCCAGAACGUGGUAACAGCUGGACCAGCACAUCCACCCAGGACAAUGAGGGGACAUGCUACAAAUGGCUGAGCAAUGAGGAACACGGACCCUGAGUUUUAAUGAUGAUGAAACUGCCACCCAACCCUGAACCUCCUACCUCUCCAAAUUUGAGAAAUAAA